UACGUAGGGGGCAAGCGUUGUCCGGAUUUAUUGGGCGUAAAGAGCUCGUAGGCGGUUCCGUAAGUCGGAUGUGAAAAAUCUGGGCUCAACCCAGUGGAGCACCCGAUACUGCGGUGACUCGAGUCCGGUAGGGGAGUGUGGAAUUCCUGGUGUAGCGGUGAAAUGCGCAGAUAUCAGGAGGAACACCGACGGCGAAGGCAGCACUCUGGGCCGGUACUGACGCUGAGGAGCGAAAGCAUGGGGAGCAAACAGG
rnacentral:rRNA from 1 species